rnacentral:rRNA from 1 species
GAUGAACGCUGGCGGCGUGCUUAACACAUGCAAGUCGAACGAUGAAGCCCAGCUUGCUGGGUGGAUUAGUGGCGAACGGGUGAGUAACACGUGAGCAACCUGCCCCUGACUCUGGGAUAAGCGCUGGAAACGGUGUCUAAUACUGGAUAUGUCCCAUCACCGCAUGGUGUGUGGGUGGAAAGAUUUUUCGGUUGGGGAUGGGCUCGCGGCCUAUCAGCUUGUUGGUGAGGUAAUGGCUCACCAAGGCGUCGACGGGUAGCCGGCCUGAGAGGGUGACCGGCCACACUGGGACUGAGACACGGCCCAGACUCCUACGGGAGGCAGCAGUGGGGAAUAUUGCACAAUGGGCGCAAGCCUGAUGCAGCAACGCCGCGUGAGGGAUGACGGCCUUCGGGUUGUAAACCUCUUUUAGCAGGGAAGAAGCGAGAGUGACGGUACCUGCAGAAAAAGCACCGGCUAACUACGUGCCAGCAGCCGCGGUAAUACGUAGGGUGCAAGCGUUAUCCGGAAUUAUUGGGCGUAAAGAGCUCGUAGGCGGUUUGUCGCGUCUGCUGUGAAAUUCCGAGGCUCAACCUCGGGCUUGCAGUGGGUACGGGCAGACUAGAGUGCGGUAGGGGAGAUUGGAAUUCCUGGUGUAGCGGUGGAAUGCGCAGAUAUCAGGAGGAACACCGAUGGCGAAGGCAGAUCUCUGGGCCGUAACUGACGCUGAGGAGCGAAAGGGUGGGGAGCAAACAGGCUUAGAUACCCUGGUAGUCCACCCCGUAAACGUUGGGAACUAGUUGUGGGGUCCUUUCCACGGAUUCCGUGACGCAGCUAACGCAUUAAGUUCCCCGCCUGGGGAGUACGGCCGCAAGGCUAAAACUCAAAGGAAUUGACGGGGACCCGCACAAGCGGCGGAGCAUGCGGAUUAAUUCGAUGCAACGCGAAGAACCUUACCAAGGCUUGACAUACACGAGAACGGGCCAGAAAUGGUCAACUCUUUGGACACUCGUGAACAGGUGGUGCAUGGUUGUCGUCAGCUCGUGU